rnacentral:lncRNA from 1 species
AUGCUCGUUGCCCCUCAGCGAAUGGGAAGGACAUACAUUUUAGCCCCUUGCGGUAAAACAAAGGAUCUUUAUGUGUGUUCAUGUGUUCAACUGCACAGAGGUGGCAGGAGGCCCUGCAGGGCUGAUGAGAAUAUUGAGAGAGCAAAGGCGACUUAUUUAUCUCUUUUAUGGGCAGCGGAACAGACUGUUUGUGCUUUCACCUUUUGGGGACUUGCUUCUGCCUUUAUCCCACUGCGCUGCGUCUUCUUUUUCUAAGUAAAGGAAAAUAUCAGCCAAGUUUACCUUAAGUUCCCCUUGCCUGUCAAGUCAACCAACCAGUUAGACAAGAUUUUAGCGGUUUUCUUUUUUUUGGUUCUUUNGGGGGGGGGGCCUUUUUUUUUUUUUUUGUUUUUUUUUUUUUUUUUUUUUUUUUUUUUUUUUUUUUUUUUUUUACUCUCUAGCUUUAAGAAUCCCACCUGCACCACUCACAUGGUGGAUUCAGGCCGUGAGUUCAACAGCCUCCAUCACUUGCUGGAAAUCAGGACCAAUACAGGAAGGUGUGAAUUCAUCUCUUCCAACCACAGGCCAGGGUUGGUAGCUGCAUUUCUGUGCCAAGGGCUACUUUCUCUCAUGUCUAUUCAUGGAGAUUGUUUUCUGGAAUUUGGAUAGACUCACAACCCAUGGAUCCUUUGCGUUUUCUCAUUUGGCCAUAUUUGCUGACUUUUUGAGGAGAGGCUGGGUUACGGGCUGUUGACACCUUUUCUGUGUGUCUGUGUUGCUGAGACACUUUGUUGAUCAAGUCCCUUUAGUCAAAGCGUGGGCCACCUCCUAUGGGAAAAGGCCACGUCAGGUGUGGACCCUGAAUUUGUCAGUUUAAUGGGUCUGCACAAAGACAGCCUGACCUCAAUAUCUAUGUUACCCGAAUCGUGUCACUCGAACCCCUGCCCUUCGGUACUAAUGCUUUUCCUGCUUCCACUAGCCCUACAGCAUCUCGCGUAAUUGCAAGAGGAAAUGGGUUUUCAUUACUUCACCUAAUAACUGUGGGAUAGAGGACAUCAAGUCCUUCUUUAGCUGCUUUCCCCACACAUUAUCCGCCCAUUUAAACGCAAAGUGUGUGAUAGCUGUGAAAAUUAUGAGUUUAAGGAUUUAUUCAUUCAUCUCAGAAGUAGUUUGCAGGUGUUUGCACUCCCGUGAGUAUUUAUCUAAGCUUUACCCACACAGUUGUCAAAGUGAAAACACUGUGUUAGGUACUGAGAUGGCUUUGGCGGAACUUUCCGAGUUUUCAUCAUUUACGUCUUUGGUAGAUUAAUUUUCUGCGACCUU